AGUCGAGCGAUGGAUUAAGAGCUUGCUCUUAUGAAGUUAGCGGCGGACGGGUGAGUAACACGUGGGUAACCUACCCAUAAGACUGGGAUAACUCCGGGAAACCGGGGCUAAUACCGGAUAAUAUUUUGAACUGCAUAGUUCGAAAUUGAAAGGCGGCUUCGGCUGUCACUUAUGGAUGGACCCGCGUCGCAUUAGCUAGUUGGUGAGGUAACGGCUCACCAAGGCGACGAUGCGUAGCCGACCUGAGAGGGUGAUCGGCCACACUGGGACUGAGACACGGCCCAGACUCCUACGGGAGGCAGCAGUAGGGAAUCUUCCGCAAUGGACGAAAGUCUGACGGAGCAACGCCGCGUGAGUGAUGAAGGCUUUCGGGUCGUAAAACUCUGUUGUUAGGGAAGAACAAGUGCUAGUUGAAUAAGCUGGCACCUUGACGGUACCUAACCAGAAAGCCACGGCUAACUACGUGCCAGCAGCCGCGGUAAUACGUAGGUGGCAAGCGUUAUCCGGAAUUAUUGGGCGUAAAGCGCGCGCAGGUGGUUUCUUAAGUCUGAUGUGAAAGCCCACGGCUCAACCGUGGAGGGUCAUUGGAAACUGGGAGACUUGAGUGCAGA
rnacentral:rRNA from 2 species